rfam:Ovis aries breed Texel chromosome 1, whole genome shotgun sequence.
UCCCUGGUAGUCCAGUGGUUAGGACCCUGUGCUUUUACUGCAGGGGACAUGGGUUUAAUCCCUGGUCAGGGAA